CGGACGGGUGAGUAAUGUAUGGGGAUCUGCCUGAUGGCGGGGGAUAACUACUGGAAACGGUAGCUAAUACCGCAUAACGUCGCAAGACCAAAGAGGGGGACCUUCGGGCCUCUUGCCAUCGGAUGUGCCCAGAUGGGAUUAGCUAGUAGGUGGGGUAACGGCUCACCUAGGCGACGAUCCCUAGCUGGUCUGAGAGGAUGACCAGCCACACUGGAACUGAGACACGGCCCAG
rnacentral:rRNA from 1 species